rnacentral:miRNA from 1 species
UGCUAAAGUGAUUGCGGUUUUUGCCAUUAAAAGUAAUGGCAAAAGCCGCAAUCACUUUUGUACC